rnacentral:rRNA from 1 species
UGGGAAAUAUUGGACAAUGGGCGAAAGCCUGAUCCAGCCAUGCCGCGUGUGUGAAGAAGGUCUUCGGAUUGUAAAGCACUUUAAGUUGGGAGGAAGGGCAUUAACCUAAUACGUUAGUGUUUUGACGUUACCGACAGAAUAAGCACCGGCUAACUCUGUG